UAACUACUGCUGUUUGUAGAGUUCUGUGU
rnacentral:piRNA from 1 species